rnacentral:rRNA from 1 species
GGAUGCGAUCAUACCAGCACUAAAGCACCGGAUCCCAUCAGAACUCCGAAGUUAAGCGUGCUUGGGCGAGAGUAGUACUAG